UCGCGGCCCCAGGUCAGGCGUGAGU
rnacentral:rRNA from 2 species